ensembl:lncRNA
UUGGUCUAAAUUUGCACUUUAUUCCUAACACUUACUGUUUCAUUUGUCCCCCCUCCCCCCAAACAACAGGCACACCGAUAGCGAUGAGUAAGGGGCAGUUUAACAGUUGGGAACAAAAUCAAAAAACGGGUUACUAACUCAGAGAGAGCCUUGAGGUAAAAGCAGGUUACUCACAAACAGAAAGGAAAUGGGUCGUAACAGAUACAAAGUUACAGAGCAGUGUUUUAGUUAUCAUCAUCAUCAAACGUCGUUGUAAUUAAGGAGAACUUUUGCCAUUUUUAUCGUCAAAAAGAAAAAUGCAAAGUUUUUACUUGUAAAAGAAAGAAUGUGUGGUGGAGCUCUUUGGUUUUCACUAUUGAGGUUUUCAUUAGUAAAAUCUUUCUUUGCCAUCCUCCAUUAAAUGACCUUUGGAUUUAAGCUGUAUUGUAGAAAAAAAUGUUUAAAAAAUAAACAAAGCAUAUGGGGAAAAUUGACUUUGUUCUCUCUUUUACUAUAUCCACUUGAUUUGGGCAAAUUGAGUAUGUUUGUUCUCUCUUUUACUAUAUCCUCUCUGAUUUGAUGUGACGUUCAGACAUAUUUGUGUUCUCAAGGCCAAAGAAAUAUCUUAGUUGAUGGAGACCUAUAAGUUGAGGACAUUCUUAAUAAGCACAUAAAACAAACAUUCAUAGCCACUUAUAACUACUGUAUAAAAUGGUCACAAUUCAAGGCGCAUAGCUUCAUAGCAUUAAGUGCUCUUGAAGACAGUAGUAUGUCUUUUGAUAUCAAUGAAGGGUAAAUAAAUACCAUUAUGUAGCAUUUAGUCUUCAUGAAGACUCCUGAAUGUUUAUAUACACAUGGAUUAACUGUGUGUGUGUGUGUGUGUGUGUGUGUGUUCUCCGUGUGUGUGUUGUGUGUGUCGGGUCUCACUUUGAGGGUUUAACUUUGGUAUCAUUCUCGGUCCACCACAGGAGAGCCCUUCACAGGCACACAUACUGUACAGCAUCAUCAUCACGCUAAUACCCCACACACACCUUCUCAGAAGAGACAUUGCCAUAAACACCUCCAGUACCCUCACAGCAUUGUCAACAGAAAUCAAAGACCCACUUGAAGGAGAGACGAGUGGUGCAUCUAUUUCUGAGGAGUGAGGUCAUAGCACGUGUUACCUAUAAAACCCGAGGAAACUGCUUACAAACUGUUCUUUUAAAAAGUUUUGGAAAGUCUUGUUCAUCAAACUCAAUAGCCAGGCCAGUUAUUGUAUCCCUCUGCUGAACCAAGACGACCAUGGUCACAUUAAAGCUUCUGUCUAUUUGGUUUUUCAUCAAAGUACAUGAGGUAUAUAUGACGUCGCUCUCUUGAAAUAAAAGACGGGAUCAGAGAGCAAGAGAGAGAGCUGGAGAUCGUAUGAACAUACAGAGGCAUCUAGACGUGUUUGAACUCCUAUUGGCACACACAGGUGUAAGUAGAAAAGUGAAAGGAGAAAUUUCAGGGGCCACUAUUACUCUAAAAUGGACCCAUUUCAUGGAUCAGUUUGAAUCUCUCUCUCUCUCUCUCUCUCUCUCUCUGUCAGGUUAGGGCUUUUACCAGUUGAGACGGGCUCUGAGAUGACACCCAUUACAAGAACAGUCUUUACAUUUGGUUUCAGUUUUUGUUUUAAAGCUUGGCCUUUUUGUCUUUGUGUUUUAAAGCAUUUUGUCUUCUUGUCUUAAUCCCAAGAACGCCUCUCUUCAAAAUACAACCUCACAAUCCCCAACUAUUACAAAGGUCUGAAUCCAGAAAUAGAAAAAAAAGAAUUACAUUAUUGAAAUAAAUCAAUAAACAAACAAGUGAGAGUUCGUAACAUACAAAUCUUUUGCAAAGAAACUCCUCUUCCACCUCACAUGAAUAUAGAUAUACACCUUCAAAACAAAGAUCCCCAGAGAGAUAGUUUAAAGCUUUUGGUCUAAAAUCAAGUCAUCAUCAACAUUUUUUUUAUCAAGGAUCACUUCACAGCCUUUUAUACAUUAGCAGUAGAAGAUAUAGCUUUUUUCCGACAAAAUCUAUUGAAGCACUAACAGAUACAUUCCCUAUAAAGGGUAGGCCAACUGGUUUUCAGUUGAUUUCCGCCCGCCCCUCACCACAAUAUUAUCAUUGGUUGCCUUUAAUAUCUGCCUAUAUGUGCCCAAGUAUGCCUCAUUUCACAUGUGAAGUUUCAUGUGUUUAUCGAACAGUAUUCUGUGGCACACUGGACAGAAGAGUGUGUACUGAAUCUUUAUGGUUUGGUUCAUAUAUGCGAGAGAACAGCUCUUUCUACACACUCAUUCGGUCUCUCUUUUGCUCUCCUGUCACAUACAUGCCAUCCAUAUCUCACACACAGGUAUGUGCGCAAUCAUGUAUGGUAGCAUGCCUGAAUGCACACACACACACACACACACACAUAGACACACACACACACACACAUAGACACACACACAUAGACACACACACA